CAGGUAUCACCAUCAAUCUAUGGUCUAAGCCUACCGAUUCAACUGAUUCCUUGUUGCAGCUACGAUUUUUCUCGACUACAUUUUUCCUCCAUAGGAGUUAGCUGUUUUGCAGUAUGGGAAGAAGACUAAAGUGGCUAUGUAUCACUUCUACCAAAAUCAGCGAGCUUAUAGAAGACCAUGGGGCUACUGAAACAUAAGGUGUUCAAUCAAAUUCUAGAGAAUGUCAGUCUAUUAAUCAACAAUCAAACCAACAAUCUUUUGAGUGUGGGAUAGGUGCAAAUGAACAAGGUCCCUAGUAUUUCUUCAGUCCCUAACAAAUCUGUAUCAGUUAACCAGAUGUCACCAACAAGAAGUCAGGAUAACAAUGGUAACCGCUAGUAUUAUUGCUAAGAAAGAGUUCACAUGAGGAUCACAUUACUCGCAUGAAGAUUUUGAGAGAGGUUCAAGAGCGUAAUGAUUUUUUGUGUUUUAUGUUAGAUUUUUAGACUUAAAUUGACAUUUGUAGCCAUUUGUUUCCAAAUUUUGCGAAUGUUUUUGGAACACGAUUUAAAUUUUAAU